CUUUUUUUUUUUUUUUUUCAAGCAAGCACACGCCACAAAAACAAGUCAUUUGCGCUGCAUGGGACACCACGAGGCAUCACGUCUCACACAGACCUGUAAACGUUUCAGGAGUCGAUAGUCUUCCUGAGUGUAAGUGAGCUUAACUGUUUAACCUUUCAAUACCGAAGGGUGCGUAUCAGACAGACUGCUUUCUCUGUGCUCGUGUGUGUGUUGUCAGGUGGUGUUGGUUUGCUUACCUCGUCAGGCGCUGUGGUUGAGGGCGCUCCCCGAACUUCCUGUAACGAGAGGACAGGAGACAGAAAACAUAUCAUUGUGACUGACAGACUCGUAAAGUAUCCUCAUUACGGCAGCACUGUCAAGCGGCCGUCCACUCGUGAGCAGUUCGUGCCAAACUUCACAUCUCAAUACCUCCAGUAGUUUGCUUUGUACGUCUCCACACAUCUGCAGUGUGAUCACAGAAUAUAAGGUGGGAUUCUGUUAUAAACAAAGAUUUGUGACUUAAGCAACAAGCAGCUCCUAUGAAGAAUAUUCCAAUUUUUGACAUCUCGGAUUUGACAAGGAAACAUUUUCUCCUCCUAGAGGAAGACUAAUGAAAUCGGACUUUUCCCUCCCGCUCGGAUCCAAGCCGGCUUUUUUCCCCCAAGCCAUAUUUCUUACUUCUAAAGUCUGAACAAACCGGAUUUGGCCGCUCGGGCUGGGCAAUGUGAAAACAUUACACUGUGACUGUAAUACACUCACUGGCCACUUUAAAAGGAACACCUGCACCUCUGCGCAGUCAUUAUUUAAAAAUCAGCCAAUCAUGUGGCAGCAGCACAGUGCAUAAAAUCAUGCAGAUACAGCUGAGCCUUGAAGCAGAAGAGUUCCAGUCAGUCAAGAACAGGAAUCUGAGGUUACAGUGGGCGUCGAAAUGCACUGAAACUGGACAGCGGAAGAAUGGAGGCCAAAAAAAAAUAAUAAAACAGGCAAUGAAAAUGACCCAGUUUCAUUGAGUGAACGAAACGGUUAAGACUAUUCCAUUUACCAGCACGAUCUACACCAAUAAUACCCAAUGAAAUAAAGCGAUAACGGAUUGUAUUUAUAGAACCAUACAUUCUAACCAUGCUGUUUAACACCACAAUGACGACGAAAACAAGAGGACCCGUGAAGAGCACCCACGGAAAACCCCAGGCACCAGAACAGAUAAUUUAUAGGAAAUGCUGUCAUCAUUUUAGUCAUAUUGCAGUCGAACCACUCACGACAUCGUCUGUUUGAAACGUAGGUUUGUGAUGGUCUCGAAGCUGGAUUUAACUACAGCAUAAAGCCAUUUCGGAAUUAGCAUUAGAUGGCAAGAUGGGCUACAGACAUUCUACGGUGAAUAAAACACAAACAGAAUUGAACUUUGGGACUAAUUACUACUAUUACUAUAGCAUGUUUACAUUAAAACCAUUUUUAAGUUAUAUUGUUACUCCUUGGCACCUAUCUUCUGCACUACCUGUUAUAUUAGACACUUCCACACUAAAACUGUGUAGUGUUCAGCGCUACACUAUCACUUACUGUGUCUACUGUCCUGUUUUAGUAGUACUGUACUGUCCAGUGUUUUUAGCACACGUCUGUACGUGCACUUUAUGUCGAAAUGUGUAGGUGUUAUUUAGUUCUGUGUCGUCUCACGUGGUUAGCGUGUUGUUUUAUGUAGCACCGUGGUCCUGGAGGAACGUUGUUUCAUUUCACUGUGUACUGUACCAGCUGUAUAUGGUUGAAAUGACAAUAAAACCUCUUGAACUUGAACUAUUGCGGUAAUUCGUAGAAUUAUAUUAUAGUAGUAUAUAUCUACUUGACCGACCACACAAGACAGUGUGAAUAAUGAAUAGUUUUUUUUCGUAUGUCAAUCUUUUACUACAGUAAAGCUCAGGAACUGGCAUGAAAAUGAUGUCGACCUAAAACUAGGAAAAGUUCUGUUUAUAUGAUAAAAAUGUAACGGACAUAGAGGAACUGGUCCAUUUGGUGGCACAUAUUUAUAUAACAUGGCUGAUAUCUGAAUAAUUAAAUACAGAUUUUUUUUCUUAAUGAAAAGGGGGGGUCCCUGAAUGAAAAGGUUUGAGCUCUGCUUUUGUGUAUGUAUAUUGUUGUGUAAUUAUUAUAUUGCUUGUAUACAAACUCUUGCGACGUCUUUCUGCAUCUUGUAUAUAAUUCGAACGCGGUAUAAAUACUGAAUGUCCGCUACAUUCCGCUGGUUACGUAAUCCAGCGUGCAUACUCAGGUCUGAAGGUAACACUGUACGUUGGUCCUGUGAUGACUAACUGACAGCGGCUGUGACUCUUGAGAGGUGGUGG